GUGAAUCAUCAAAUCUUUGAACGCAAAUGGCACUCUCUGCGGAGAGUAUGCCUGUUUGAGGUUCAGACUAAAAAAAAUCGACGUAUUCGCUGUUUCUCGGUGACAUUCGUGGGAAAUUACGUCAUCUUAAACCUUUGGGUUUUUUAAGCGGCUUAAAAUUUUCUUUACGUUUCUACGAACUUUUCUAAUAUUUUACUUCUUACACACGUUAAAGUUAUCGAUCUUU
rnacentral:misc_RNA from 1 species